rnacentral:rRNA from 1 species
CAGCAGCCGCGGGAAAACGAAGGGUGCAAGCGUUACUCGGAAUUACUGGGCGUAAAGCGUGCGUAGGUGGUGGUUUAAGUCCGUUGUGAAAGCCCUGGGCUCAACCUGGGAAUUGCAGUGGAUACUGGGUCACUAGAGUGUGGUAGAGGAUAGUGGAAUUUCCGGUGUAGCAGUGAAAUGCGUAGAGAUCGGAAGGAACAUCUGUGGCGAAGGCGACUAUCUGGGCCAACACUGACACUGAGGCACGAAAGCGUGGGGAGCAAACAGGAUUAGAGACCCCGGUAGUCCCUGUCUCUUAUAC